GUGGUCCUUUCACCCUGCAGCUCAGUGUCCUGUGACCACAGGCACGUGGGCCCUGCCCUGAGCGCCUCACACCAACCCGAGGCGGGAGGAGGAGGAGGGCGUCCUGAGAGUGCCCUGUCAAGCAAAAACUCUAAGAGAAAAAGCCAGGCUGACCCAGGAGAGGCCUGAGGGAGGGGAGUGGAGAUGAGGCUCGGCCACCCCAGGGCUGCCCGGUGCUGGGGGAGAAGACGCUGAGAAGAGGAGGAGAAUGGGGAGGAAGGGACGGACACCCCAAGAGCACGCAGGCUGAAGACUGGGCUGCCUCCCCGGAGACCGACCAGCCUGCCCUAGGAAUCAUAUUCUGCACUGGAAGAAGCCUUGAGAGUUGCCUGGCCCAGAGGUCACAAACCAGAGCCCUGCGGGCUGAGCUCUACCCACAGUGCAGUUAUCAGUCACCGUGUAGCGGUCACCGACGGCCACAUUAAUGCUGCGUAACAAACAGCCUCAGAGCCCACCGUUGUGUGUCGCCAGGCGGUGCUGUCCAUGCCCAGGCCCCAAGAAAGGCAGGGGAAAGGCUGAGCUGGGCCUGUGCCCUCUGUCCCUUCCUAUGAGCCUCUAGAGCAAAGCUUUGCUGAAGGCUGUUGUCUGAACCAAGGCCACAGAGGAAGCACGCUCCCUGCUCCCACUUUGCCCCUCGUACCCGCCUGAGGGCAUCUUAAUUAAGCCUUCCUUCCCCACGCUCAGAAAAAUAAAUACUUGGGA
rnacentral:lncRNA from 1 species